GAUUAACGCUGGCGGCGUGCCUAACACAUGCAAGUCGAACGAGGUAGCAAUACCUAGUGGCAGACGGGUGAGUAACGCGUGGUCAACCUACCGUUGAGUGGGGGAGUAACUAGCCGAAGGUUAGCUAAUACCGCAUACGUCUCCGAGGGGCGAUCCCUUCGGCGAUAAAAGGAAGGCAAUCCGCUCGAUGACGGGACCGCGUCCCAUUAGCUAGAUGGUGGGGUAACGGCCUACCAUGGCACCGAUGGGUAGCUGGUUUGAGAGAGCGACCAGCCACACU
rnacentral:rRNA from 1 species